UGGGGAAUAUUGCACAAUGGGCGCAAGCCUGAUGCAGCCAUGCCGCGUGUGUGAAGAAGGCCUUCGGGUUGUAAAGCACUUUCAGCGAGGAGGAAGGUGGUGAGCUUAAUACGCUUAUCAAUUGACGUUACUCGCAGAAGAAGCACCGGCUAACUCCGUGCCAGCAGCCGCGGUAAUACGGAGGGUGCAAGCGUUAAUCGGAAUUACUGGGCGUAAAGCGCACGCAGGCGGUUUGUUAAGUCAGAUGUGAAAUCCCCGGGCUCAACCUGGGAACUGCAUUUGAAACUGGCAAGCUAGAGUCUCGUAGAGGGGGGUAGAAUUCCAGGUGUAGCGGUGAAAUGCGUAGAGAUCUGGAGGAAUACCGGUGGCGAAGGCGACCCCCUGGACGAAGACUGACGCUCAGGUGCGAAAGCGUGGGGAGCAAACA
rnacentral:rRNA from 1 species